rnacentral:rRNA from 1 species
GACGAACGCUGGCGGCGCGCCUAACACAUGCAAGUCGAACGGAGUAACGAGGAGCUUGCUUUUCUUGACUUAGUGGCGAACGGGUGAGUAACGCGUGAGUAACCUGUACUGGAGUGGGGGACAACAGUUGGAAACGAUUGCUAAUACCGCAUAAGCCCACGGAACCGCAUGGAUCUGCGGGAAAAGGAUUUAUUCGCUUCAGAAUGGACGCGCGUCCAAUUAGCUAGGUGGUGAGGUAACGGCCCACCAAGGCGACGAAUGGUAGCCUGACGGAUAGGUGGAACGGCCGCGUUGGGACUGAGACACAGCCCAGACUCCUACGGAGGGCAGCAGUAUAGGAUAUUGCACGAGGGGGGAUACCCUGAUGCAGCGGCGCCGCGGGGGGGAAGAAGGUUGUUGGAUUGUAAUCUCCGGUCGUAAGAAACGAUAGUGACGGUACCUAACGAGAAAGCACCGGCUAACUACGUG